rnacentral:lncRNA from 1 species
UAAUUUGGCCUAGAAACCGGUAUUUUAUAAUUAAAUAUAAUACUAGAAAAAUUAAUGAAGCUCCUAUAUUUUUAAAAGUGUCAAGUCAUUGGUAUUUGUAAAUUUUCGAUAUUUGGAUGAAAAUUUAUAGUGUAAGGAUAAUAAUAGUUUCCGAAGAUUGAGAGAGUAGUUGGUGUAGUAACAUAAUUUAAAAGAUGGAAUUAGUCAAAGAUAGAAAUUUAAUAGUGAAAAACUUACAAACAUUAAGGCCCCGUUUGGUUGGGGGGAUAAGCGGGGAUAACAAAAGUUAUCCCCGCUAUUCCGCCAAACGGGAUGAAAUUUGGCCGGGAUAUUUUAUCCCGGUCAAACCUUGCUAUUCCCGGUUAUCCCGGAAUAGCAAGGGAUUUGCUAUUCCACCAUUUUGGUAGAAUAGCACUAUUCCAAUGCUUAAUUUCAAACUUAAUUAAAAUUAUAAAUUGAAUUAAAACUAAAUUAUAUAAAUAUAAUAUGUUAUAUAUUAUAAUACAUUAUUUUAUUAUAAAAUUAUUAAUUGUACUAUAUUAAUACAUAUUAUUUAUAUUUAAAUAUUAUAAUAAAAUUUAUAAUAAAUU